rnacentral:rRNA from 1 species
CACUAGCGAAUUUCUAAGUUGUUGCAGUUGAAAAGCUCGUAGUUGGUAGUGUUGCGGAUAACGUACGAGGGCCUUUGGUUCCGAGUCGACAAUCUGCAUUCUUGGGUGCCUCGUUGUACCCUCAAUAACUGUGAUUUAAGAGGAGCGUUUCAAGCGGGCGUUGGCUCUUACUUCUAAGCAUGGUAUUAUAUCAUAUGAUCGAGUGUGAUUUCUUAAAAUCGGUAUUCACGCCUGAUAAUGAGCAACAGGGCCGGUUGGGGGCAUUCGUACUUGCGCAUCAGAGGUGAAAUUCUAUAACUGCGCAAUGACGGUCCGCUGCGAAAGCGUCUGCCAAGGACGGUUNUAUUAA